CCCAGAGAACCUGUGUCUACUUCUGAGCGCUGGGAAUGAAGCAGAUCUCGCAAAAGGGGAGGAAGGCCUUCACCGCUGAACCCGAGCUUUGCCAUUUCGAAGUGCUGAGUCACCUCGUCCUCUCAGGGUCAGACACUUUCACGCAGGAAACGUCCUGCAGAGCACCGCAGCGGGAGCACCGAGCUGACCUGGAAGGAGAGAACAAGGGCCUUCCUGAGGCAGGACAAGGACCCAGAACUACCCAGAAUGCAGCAGGGCGGCCCCGCACGACUGAGCUCUGAUCCUAACCUGCAAAGUGAAGUUUCAAUUUCCACUUCCUGAGAAGGUCAGGUGUAUAGGUGUGAACCAAGUGCACGUCUAGUUCCCUUGGAGGCCAGAAAGAAGGCGGUGUCAGAUCCCCAGGAACCAUAGUUACAGAUGGUUGAUGUGGAAACUCAGAGAGGAUGCCACUGUUUUGAACUAUUUUGAAGGCACAGCCACCAGAGCUUUAGGGACAGGGUAUUUUAUCACAGCAACAGAAAUGAAACCAAAACAACUCCACAAUAAAAUUCUUGAGUUUCUUGGGGCCAAGAAGAUGACACGAUAAGAUAAAGACACUGGCCAAGCAUGACCUCCAGAGUUUGGCCCUUGCAUAAAGGAGAAAAUUAAUUCCUUCAGUUGUUCUCUGACCUCCACAUGCGUCCUGUAACAUGGGUGUAUGCAUACACAUAAACACACAUCCACACGUUGUUAAAUAAAUAAAAAAAAUAUGUUAACA
rnacentral:lncRNA from 1 species